UACAGAGGGGGCAAGCGUUGUUCGGAAUUACUGGGCGUAAAGGGCGCGUAGGCGGCCGCCUAAGUCAGACGUGAAAUCCCUCAGCUUAACUGGGGAACUGCGUCUGAGACUGGAUGGCUUGAGUGCAGGAGAGGAACGCGGAAUUCCAGGUGUAGCGGUGAAAUGCGUAGAUAUCUGGAGGAACACCGGUGGCGAAGGCGGCGUUCUGGACUGCAACUGACACUGAGGAACGAAAGCCAGGGGAGCAAACGGG
rnacentral:rRNA from 1 species